GAAGAAAUCAAACAAAUGGUUGAUCCAUUGGCUAAUAAGCUGAACCCAAGACUGAUAUGUAAGGUGGAAGAUAUAUUAACACACAUGAAGAAGGUUCAUUUGUGUGAGAUGCUUUGUCUUCAAAUUCAGUCUCAGAAAGUAUGUGACGACUUGAGUGGUGCUAAGACAAAGAGGUU